AGCAACAAAUGCCCUGCUUCCAGGAAAAGCCUCUAAGCAUCAGGUAACAUCAAAUCGUACCCCAAACCGACACAGGUGGUCAGGUAGAGAAUACCAAGGCGCUUGAGAGAACUCGGGUGAAGGAACUAGGCAAAAUGGUGCCGUAACUUCGGGAGAAGGCACGCUGACACGUAGGUGAAGUGAUUUACUCAUGGAGCUGAAGUCAGUCGAAGAUACCAGCUGGCUGCAACUGUUUAUUAAAAACACAGCACUGUGCAAACACGAAAGUGGACGUAUACGGUGUGACGCCUGCCCGGUGCCGGAAGGUUAAUUGAUGGGGUCAGCGCAAGCGAAGCUCCUGAUCGAAGCCCCGGUAAACGGCGGCCGUAACUAUAACGGUCCUAAGGUAGCGAAAUUCCUUGUCGGGUAAGUUCCGACCUGCACGAAUGGCGUAAUGAUGGCCAGGCUGUCUCCACCCGAGACUCAGUGAAAUUGAACUCGCUGUGAAGAUGCAGUGUACCCGCGGCAAGACGGAAAGACCCCGUGAACCUUUACUAUAGCUUGACACUGAACAUUGAGCCUUGAUGUGUAGGAUAGGUGGGAGGCUUUGAAGUGUGGACGCCAGUCUGCAUGGAGCCGACCUUGAAAUACCACCCUUUAAUGUUUGAUGUUCUAACGUGGACCCGUUACCCGGGUUGCGGACAGUGUCUGGUGGGUAGUUUGACUGGGGCGGUCUCCUCCUAAAGAGUAACGGAGGAGCACGAAGGUUGGCUAAUCCUGGUCGGACAUCAGGAGGUUAGUGCAAUGGCAUAAGCCAGCUUGACUGCGAGCGUGACGGCGCGAGCAGGUGCGAAAGCAGGUCAUAGUGAUCCGGUGGUUCUGAAUGGAAGGGCCAUCGCUCAACGGAUAAAAGGUACUCCGGGGAUAACAGGCUGAUACCGCCCAAGAGUUCAUAUCGACGGCGGUGUUUGGCACCUCGAUGUCGGCUCAUCACAUCCUGGGGCUGAAGUAGGUCCCAAGGGUAUGGCUGUUCGCCAUUUAAAGUGGUACGCGAGCUGGGUUUAGAACGUCGUGAGACAGUUCGGUCCCUAUCUGCCGUGGGCGCUGGAGAACUGAGGGGGGCUGCUCCUAGUACGAGAGGACCGGAGUGGACGCAUCACUGGUGUUCGGGUUGUCAUGCCAAUGGCACUGCCCGGUAGCUAAAUGCGGAAGAGAUAAGUGCUGAAAGCAUCUAAGCACGAAACUUGCCCCGAGAUGAGUUCUCCCUGAGACUUUAGGUCUCCUGAAGGAACGUUGAAGACGACGACGUUGAUAGGCCGGGUGUGUAAGCGCAGCGAUGCGUUGAGCUAACCGGUACUAAUGAACCGUGAGGCUUAACCUUACAACGCCGAAG
rnacentral:rRNA from 4 species